rnacentral:rRNA from 1 species
GGGUCAGUAGGUUGGUCGUGCCACCGGUACGUACUGGUCUCACUGAUUCCUCCUUCCUGAAGAACCGUAAUGCCAUUAAUUUGGGGGUGCGGGGAAACAGGACAGUUACUUUGAAAAAAUUAGCGUGUUUAAAGCAAGCUAACGCUUGAAUACAUUAGCAUGGAAUAAUGAAAUAGGACGAUCGAUCCUAUUUUGUUGGUUUCUAGGAUUGACGUA